AUUGAACGCUGGCGGCAGGCCUAACACAUGCAAGUCGAGCGGAUGAAGGGAGCUUGCUCCUGGAUUCAGCGGCGGACGGGUGAGUAAUGCCUAGGAAUCUGCCUGGUAGUGGGGGAUAACGUCCGGAAACGGACGCUAAUACCGCAUACGUCCUGAGGGAGAAAGUGGGGGAUCCUCGGACCUCACGCUAUCAGAUGAGCCUAGGUCGGAUUAGCUAGUUGGUGGGGUAAAGGCCUACCAAGGCGACGAUCCGUAACUGGUCUGAGAGGAUGAUCAGUCACACUGGAACUGAGACACGGUCCAGACUCCUACGGGAGGCAGCAGUGGGGAAUAUUGGACAAUGGGCGAAAGCCUGAUCCAGCCAUGCCGCGUGUGUGAAGAAGGUCUUCGGAUUGUAAAGCACUUUAAGUUGGGAGGAAGGGCAGUAAGUUAAUACCUUGCUGUUUUGACGUUACCAACAGAAUAAGCACCGGCUAACUUCGUG
rnacentral:rRNA from 1 species